CAAACCCUUACCACGGUGGUUCUCGAAACCAGCCGCCGCCGCGGGCAACUAUCCCCCACCCCCACUGCUGUGGAUGGCUGCGCUGGCUCCGGCUAACCGACGAUGGAAGAUCCUGCUGGACUCUGUCGACAUGUUCCCACUACGAUGCGGACAGUUUGGACCACCCGGAUCCGGUUCCUCUGGUGGAUCUCCAGCGGAUUGCCGACACGAGCGCUGACCCGGUUCCUGGUGCGGCGAGCGUGUUGGCGGCGCAAGUCAGGGCAGGUAGGAAGGCGCCGGGUGCCGCCGGUGGAAGGCUUCUCCGAGGCAGGGCAGGUAGGAAGGUGAAUCCAGAGGCGCCUGGAUGGACAAACAGAUUGGAGAAGCAGGAGAAGAAACGAAGGCAGAAGGGGAUAAAUUGUCCAAAUUAGCACUGAAGCUGCAGCAGGACAAAUUAGCCCAAGUUCUCUCUUGUGGGUUUAAUUAUGAAUGGUACUAUUUACACUAGCAUGCUUAGUUAUGAAUGCUAUGUGAUCUAGACAUAUCACAAUUAAAGAUUUUCCUCUUAUUUUGCCAAGCUAACAACUGUGUGGUGUUGCACCAUCUUUUGUGUCCAGGUUGUUUGUUCUAGUUGGUAGAUUAUAAACUUUGUUGGAUUUUGCCUUAAGUAUUUGAUUCAUGGUACAGCCAGUCAGCUAGUUGUCUUUUUAGUUCUCCAGAUCUUAUGAUGCCUAAUUAUCUAAAGCCUAAUUUUUGUUCUGUUUUGCUUGGAAAAGCGAUGCCACAUAUUCACAGUUGCGGUGAUGCAGGUUUGCUUGUCCAGUGUACUUCAUGGUACAUGUACCUGGGUGUUUAGCCCAAGUUCCAAUACAUCUUGUGUAUAUCUUUUGAUCUAUC